AGAUGUAACCUUUCCCCUCAGUAGACAGCUUUGCAGGCUGUUCUUGUGUUUGCAGUCCCUGUGUAUAGCCUUCUCAAAAUACAAACGGCAUAUUUUGAGGUCUGGAGGCUAGAAGUCUGAAAUCAAGAAGUCUGCAUGCCCGUACUCCCUCCACAGGCUCUAGGGGAGGAUCCUUCCUUGCUUCUUCCAGCGUCUGGUGGCUCCAGGCGAGUGCUGACCUCACCUUGCAAAGCUCUCUGAAGUGUCUGAGCAGAGGGUCCACUCCUCCCCGGCAUACCUUUGCAGCAAUAUCCUGGCAGAUACUUUAUGUCAUGUUGCCAUGAACUGCAUUGUUCUGCCCCAAGCCCCAGGCUACUGGAAAAAAUGGUUGAAGACCUGAAAACUGUGACCCCUGUUGCCUAGCAACUGAGAAGCUCAGCCUCAACUCCGGGUGGGGGAGAUGAUGGAGAAAGGUACUGCAUUUUGAUAAAUUGAAGGUUUGUGGAACGCUGCAUUGAGCAAGUCUAUUGGUACCAUUUUCCAACAGCAUGUGCUCACUUCAUGUCUCUGUGCCACAUUUGGUUCUUCGGACUUCACACAUUCCAGCAGUAGCUCUCUCAGCUCCUGUCCUGCACAGCUUUGAAGUGCUGGUGAUGUCAUUGAACUCUUAAGUGCAAGAUGAAACAAGUCUUUCUGGGGUUCUAAGUAGAGUACUGAGCUGUCUCCGAAGAAUUCAGAUUAUUGAAUGUAGGCACCCUUUUCUGAUUUCCUUCAUCAAUUCAAUUCAGGAGAUGUGAUGCAAUGUGAUGUGUCAAUGACACAGGACUGGGCUGUGGCCCUUGGCGAGCCUCCCAAGCUAUUCAGUGAUGUUAGACAACCCACUUACC
ensembl:lncRNA novel transcript